rnacentral:rRNA from 1 species
CCUACGGGAGGCAGCAGUGAGGAAUAUUGGUCAAUGGGCGAAAGCCUGAUGGAGCAACGCCGCGUGGGUGAAGAAGGUCUUCGGAUCGUACAACCCUGUUGUUAGAGAAGAAAGUGCGUGAGAGUAACUGUUCACGUUUCGACGGUAUCUAACCAGAAAGUCACGGCUAACUACGUGCCAGCAGCCGCGGUAAUACGUAGGUGGCAAGCGUUAUCCGGAUUUAUUGGGCGUAAAGGGAACGCAGGCGGUCUUUUAAGUCUGAUGUGAAAGCCUUCGGCUUAACCGGAGUAGUGCAUUGGAAACUGGGAGACUUUAGUGCAGAAGAGGAUAGUGGAACUCCAUGUGUAGCGGUGGAAUGCGUAGAUAUAUGGAAGAACACCAGUGGCGAAAGCGGCUCUCUGGUCUGUAACUGACGCUGAGGUUCGAAAGCGUGGGUAGCAAACAGGAUUAGAUACCCUUGUAGUC